UGCGCAGGCGGGCUUGUAAGUCAGUGGUGAAAUACUGCCGCUUAACGGUAGAACUGCCAUUGAUACUGCGAGUCUUGAAUAUGGUCGAGGUAGGCGGAAUGUGUUGUGUAGCGGUGAAAUGCAUAGAUAUGACACAGAACGCCGAUUGCGAAGGCAGCUUACUAAGCCAUUAUUGACGCUGAGGCACGAAAGCGUGGGGAGCGAACAGGAUUAGAUACCCUGGUAGUCC
rnacentral:rRNA from 1 species